CCCAUUUACAAACCAGUGUUCUUAGGUAUUGAAUAACAAGUGUAGUUACCUGGAUACACGGUGACUCCGUCAGGUGGUUUAACAUGUCCUUGGAUAACAGGAUAAACCUUUUUCCAUGACUCACACAUGGAGGAAUUAGUAGUGGAUUGUGCAUAAAGACUCAGGACACAUGACUCAACAUCGGGAGGUAGAUUUAAAUGCACCGUGCCAAGGUGGGGCCUAGCUCCCCC